UGUAGUUAAUACAUAAAUUCCCCAUUUUUGUCAGCUAUUUGUUUUUGCAUAUGAGAAAGCAGGAAUGCUAGAUAUCGCCAAAUUUGCCCGAAUAAGCUCCCCGCCAAAAAAAUAAAAUAUAUUAAAAUGGAAACAUUUUUGCAAAAAAGAAUAGAUAAUACAUCCCCUUUUUCUGAUACAAAUGAUGAAUAUUUAAAUGUUGAGUGUAGAAUGGUAAAAUUUGGCGAAGUUGAAAUUAGUUAAAAAUGUAUACAUGCAUAUGUACAUAUUGUAUUAUUUAUUGACAAUUUUCAUCAUUAAAUGUAAAUUGUUUAACGCCAAUUGGGAACUCGACGAAAAAUUAAAAGCUUGGCUGAUAAAUACUGAUGAGGGAUUGCAUACAGGUAAAAUAUGCUCAGUAAACCGUAAAACAACUGGAGGUAAAAAAGAUUUGAUAAAUCACGGAAACACCAAAAAACAUUUAGAGCAGUCAAGGGAAUUUAAACCCACAGAGGCAGCAAGAACAUAAUAACAGGCUUUGUGGAAAGUACGGCUUUCGCUGAAAUACAUUUAGCCGCUUAUUGUGCUGAACACAAAAUUUCUUUUUCAACAAUGGAUCACCUGGUUCCCCUGAUAACCAACAGUUUCGAUGAUUCCAAAAUUGAGAAGGAUAUAAAGUCCGGCCGGACUGAUUAGAUUUGAAAAUGAAUGUCAUAGAUAAGAGUACAGACUGUUCAACAACAAAAAAUUUGAGUCUGGUUGUAGGAAUACAACACAAAAAUGAAUUAAAUGAUUUAUUUUUUGUAUGUAUGGAUGUAGUUAAGGCGGAUGGUGAGGGUAUUUACAGUGAAAUUAAACAUUUUUUCAACACGAAUGACAUUAACUACAAAAAAUUUUCGGUCGGUCCAACACCGGGGUGUA